GUGAAAUGUGAGAGCUGGGCCAGGCCCUCACUCACUGCCCCUACCUGCAGGGCCACCAGGCCACUGCGGAUGAGAUUGAGGCCCUGAACAGCAACGCUGAGGAACUAGAUGUCAUGUAUGGUGGCGUCCUAGUACAGGAGCAUGUGACCAUGGGCAGCGAGCCCCCCCACUUCCUCGCCAUCUUCCAGGGCCAGCUGGUGAUCUUCCAGGAGAGAGCUGGGCACCAUGGAAAGGGGCAGUCAGCAUCCACCACAAGGCUUUUCCAAGUGCAAGGCACUGACAGCCACAACACCAGGACCAUGGAGGUGCCAGCCCGUGCCUCAUCCCUCAACUCCAGUGACAUCU
rnacentral:lncRNA from 1 species